rnacentral:rRNA from 1 species
CUACCGGGUGACCGGAUGCCGAUCUCGAAAACCUGUCCCAGUUCGGACUGGAGUCUGCAACCCGACUCCACGAAGUUGGAUUCGCUAGUAAUCGCGCAUCAGCCAUGGCGCGGUGAAUACGUUCCCGGGCCUUGUACACACCGCCCGUCAAGCCAUGGGAGCCGGGGGCGCCUGAAGUCCGGGACCGCGAGGACCGGCCUAGGGCGAAACUGGUGACUGGGGCUAAGUCGUAACAAGGUAGC